CGCUGUAAACGAUGAGUAUUAAACGGUGGCGAAGUCACUGUUGUAGCUAACGCAAUAAAUACUCCGCCUGGGGAGUACGGUCGCAAGACUAAAACUCAAAGGAAUUGACGGGGACUCGCACAAGCGGUGGAGCAUGUUGUUUAAUUCGAGGAUACGCGAAAAACCUUACCAGGUCUUGACAUAUUGGUGAAAUAGUUAGAGAUAACUAUGCUUUUUAGCACCUUUACAGGUGGUGCAUGGCUGUCGUCAG
rnacentral:rRNA from 1 species